GCAGCAUCAUCCAAUGUGGUUUUCAGCUUACUCUUGGUGAUAGGAAGUGAAGCAGGCAGGCUGUUGAUUGAUUCCAAUCCAACAGCAGUUUUUUCAGCAACAAUGACCCCAGAGUGUUGAUCCACCUGCUUUCACAUGAUGCUGCUGAAGCCCUUUAUGAGGUAUGGUGGCCAGAACAUGAUAUAUCCUGUGUUCUAUGGUGUAUUUGUACCCUAGAAGUGAAUCACAGUUAUUCCAGUGGGUGAAAGACAGGAGAAGAAUGUUGGCUGGAAAGAGUUUCUUCUGAAAAUCUUUCAGUUCAAAGAGCUCUGGACAAUGAAUCCCCUGUGGUACCUGCCCUUUACAUUUGGUGGAGUAGCACUGCAAUACUGGGGUUUCUCAUCUUAAGAAUAAUAUCAAAGUGUCCAGGAAAGUUGAAACCUUACCAUCAUAACUGAAUUUUGGCUUGCCAUUUCUGAAACAGCCCUAUCUGCAACCUGUUUUAAAACCAGCAUAAUAUACAGCCAGUUGCUGGGGUCAAUAUUUAGCCUCAUGCCAUGAAAAACUAUUGUUGUUGUUGUUGUUUAGUCGUUAA